GAUGAACGCUGGCGGCGUGCCUAAUACAUGCAAGUCGAGCGAACGGACGAGAAGCUUGCUUCUCUGAUGUUAGCGGCGGACGGGUGAGUAACACGUGGAUAACCUACCUAUAAGACUGGGAUAACUUCGGGAAACCGGAGCUAAUACCGGAUAAUAUUUUGAACCGCAUGGUUCAAAAGUGAAAGACGGUCUUGCUGUCACUUAUAGAUGGAUCCGCGCUGCAUUAGCUAGUUGGUAAGGUAACGGCUUACCAAGGCAACGAUGCAUAGCCGACCUGAGAGGGGGAUCGGCCACACGGGAACGGAGACACGGUCAAGACUCCUACGGGAGGCAGCAGUAGGGAAUCUUCCGAAAGGGGCGAAAGCCUGACGGAGCAACGCCGCGUGAGUGAUGAAGGUCUUCGUAUCGUAAAACUCUGUUAUGGGGGAAGAACAUAUGUGUAAGUAACUGUGCACAUCUUGAGGGUACCUAAUCAGAAAGCCACGGCUAACUACG
rnacentral:rRNA from 1 species